rnacentral:rRNA from 1 species
GGAUCAAUUUAUUGGUCGUGCUAUUGUACGUACUGAUUUUAUUGGUUCCUACCUUCUGACGAACCAUAAUGUCAUUAAUUUGGUGUUAUGGGGAAUCAGGACUGUUACUUUGAAAAAAUUAGAGUGUUUAAAGCAGGCAAUCGCUUGAAUACAUUAGCAUGGAAUAAUGAAAUAGGACGUUCGAUCCUAUUUUGUUGGUUUCUAGGGUUGACGUA